rnacentral:rRNA from 1 species
GACGAACGCUGGCGGCGUGCUUAACACAUGCAAGUCGAACGAAGUGGCGAACGGGUGAGUAACGCGUAAUCAACCUGCCCUUCAGAGGGGGACAACAGUUGGAAACGACUGCUAAUACCUCAUACUGAAGGUGGGGAUUGCGUCUGAUUCGCUAGUUGGAGGGGUAACGGCCCACCAAGGCGAAGAUCAGGAGCCGGGUUGGGAGGAAGAAUGGCCAAAUUGGGACUGGGACACGGCCCAGACUCCUUCGGGAGGCAGCAGUGGGGAAUCUUCCGCAAUGGACGAAAGUCUGACGGAGCAACGCCGCGGGAGUGAUGACGGCCUUCGGGUUGUAAAGCUCUGUUAAUCGGGACGCGGUACCGGAAUAGAAAGCCACGGCUAACUACGUGCCAGCAGCCGCGGUAAUAC